rnacentral:misc_RNA from 1 species
UCCGGUUUGUCACCGGCAGUCUGGCGUGAGUCCCCAACUUAAUGCUGGCAACACGCCACGGGGGUUGCGCUCGUUGCGGGACUUAACCCAACAUCUCACGACACGAGCUGACGACAGCCAUGCAGCACCUGUGGUGCACCCUCGAAGGUCACACGUUUCCGUGCGCUUGCAGCACCAUGUCAAGCCCAGGUAAGGUGGGGAUGACGUUCGUCUGAC